ensembl:lncRNA LINC01677 long intergenic non-protein coding RNA 1677
AGACAUUCCUAUCUGCUGGAGGCACAAAUUCUACUUGUUCUAUUACUUGAUGUUUAGGCUCAUCUGAAAUUUCCCUGCCGUCACCUGGGAAUCAACCAUUUCUUCAGGGAGUCCUAGUUUCUUUUAGCGUAUAGCCACCAAUUUCUACUGAGUAUUUAUCUACUAUAUGGCAGGUCAAGUCUGCAUUCUGGGAUAAAGUGUUGACACAAUCUUGAAUCAGUGCCUAAGGAGUUCACAAGUCCAGAGAGGGGAUAGCGCAUAGAGAAGAUAAAGCAGAUGUCCAUCCAAAGACUUGUAUGUGAAUGUUCAUAGCAACUUUAUUUGUAAUAGCCAAAACCUGAAAGCAACCCAAAUGUAUGUUAAGAAGCGAAUGGAUACAUAAAUUGUGGCAUAUGCAUACAAUGGGAUACCCAGCAAUAAAAAGGAAUGAACUAUUCAAGUAGGCAACAAAAGAUAAGAGAGCUGAAGAAGAGUGAAAAUAAAGAAACUUCUGCAAAGCCACACAUGUAAAAUAUAUUUCUGGCAACAGUGGAGAAGAAUGAUAGGAAGAGAAUCAUACUGGAAUAGUAUAGUCCUUUGGAAUGUUGUUGUAAUGAAGGCAAGAAGAAAAAUGAUCUUGAAGGCAAGAAGAAAAAUCAUAUUGAAGGAAAGGAGAGAUGAGUUUACCAAAUAUAAUCUCAGAAUUGUUCUGUAAAUUUCAUUUCUGCUUUAGCAGCCAUAAAGAGCUCCAUUUAUUACAGUAGGAACAGAGGCAACAGCAACAUGGGUGGCUGGCAGUGAUAGAAAGGAUUUUAGUUUUGAUACAUGGAAUUUGACAUGCUUUUUGAAAAUCUUCAGAUGGUGAUGUACAAACUACUGCAGGAACAUAUGAGGAAAGAUGAGAGAAUCCACAGACUCUUUGAAGGAAGCAGAUUGCUCCUGCAGGGCCUGGGAGACAACCAAACACUGGGUCCUUAGGGAGAGGUGCCAGAGGAAUUGGAAAAAGGCCACAGGCAGAAGGAAGGCUCCAGCUAAACUUGAUGCAGUGAUGUGGAGGCAAAAAAGAGAAUAUUAUUGAUUAAAGGAAGAUGAAUUUACUUUGCCCGCAUGGUUUCAGAAGUUAUUAUUAAUCAGAAUUGACUUAGACAUAUAGUCUCUUUUCUAAGGCUUUAUAGUUGUAUUUUAAUAAAUUAUUACAUGUAG